CGCGGCCUAUCAGCUUGUUGGUGGGGUGAUGGCCUACCAAGGCUGCGACGGGUAGCCGGCCUGAGAGGGUGUCCGGCCACACUGGGACUGAGAUACGGCCCAGACUCCUACGGGAGGCAGCAGUGGGGAAUAUUGCACAAUGGGCGCAAGCCUGAUGCAGCGACGCCGCGUGGGGGAUGACGGCCUUCGGGUUGUAAACCUCUUUCACCAUCGACGAAGCCUUCGGGUGACGGUAGGUGGAGAAGAAGCACCGGCCAACUACGUGCCAGCAGCCGCGGUAAUACGUAGGGUGCGAGCGUUGUCCGGAAUUACUGGGCGUAAAGAGCUCGUAGGUGGUUUGUCGCGUUGUUCGUGAAAUGCCACAGCUUAACUGUGGGCGUGCGGGCGAUACGGGCAGACUGGAGUACUGCAGGGGAGACUGGAAUUCCUGGUGUAGCGGUGGAAUGCGCAGAUAUCAGGAGGAACACCGGUGGCGAAGGCGGGUCUCUGGGCAGUAACUGACGCUGAGGAGCGAAAGCGUGGGGAGCGAACAGGAUUAGAUACCCUGGUAGUCCACGCCGUAAACGGUGGGUACUAGGUGUGGGUUUCCUUCCUUGGGAUCCGUGCCGUAGCUAACGCAUUAA
rnacentral:rRNA from 1 species